AUUAUUAUUUUUCAUUUAUUUUAUCGUUAUCAAGCAGAACAAAUUCCAAAGGAAAUUAAGAUAUUCCUGCUACAGUACCUCCCUCUCGGUUUAGACCACAUUAUGUCUUUACUACAUGAGGAGCAGCCUCCAAGUCUGCCUUCUCCUAUGGACCAGCUACAGGGUCAAUGGCUGGUGGGGAGUUUGACAGGGUGCUAAAUUGUAACACAGGUGUUACAGGGAAACACAAAACGCCCGUGGAGCAGAAGGGAAAAGGCUCUCUUGAUACCAAUAUUCAGUUUGAUUACAGACCAUAGAAAGCCUUACGAUCCUUUAGUUUUGGGGGAGUUUUUGGAGGAGUUGUCAAACAAGUUCACAUAAAGAUGGCUGAUUUGCGGCUGCCAAGCAUUCACGGUGACGUGACUUGUUGAUCCUCCGAUUCUGGAUCUUCCGAUCACAGGGAAUUAACCAGACAUCGCUCACCCCCUAACCGGCAACAUGAACUGGGAUUGGACACUCAGGAGACAGGUUA
rnacentral:ncRNA from 1 species